GACGAACUUUGGCGGCGUGCUUAACACAUGCAAGUCGAACGGAAAGGCCCUGCUUUUGCGGGGUGCUCGAGUGGCGAACGGGUGAGUAACACGUGAGUAACCUGCCCUUGACUUUGGGAUAACUUCAGGAAACUGGGGCUAAUACCGGAUAGGAGCUCCUGCUGCAUGGUGGGGGUUGGAAAGUUUCGGCGGUUGGGGAUGGACUCGCGGCUUAUCAGCUUGUUGGUGGGGUAGUGGCUUACCAAGGCUUUGACGGGUAGCCGGCCUGAGAGGGUGACCGGCCACAUUGGGACUGAGAUACGGCCCAGACUCCUACGGGAGGCAGCAGUGGGGAAUAUUGCACAAUGGGCGGAAGCCUGAUGCAGCAACGCCGCGUGCGGGAUGACGGCCUUCGGGUUGUAAACCGCUUUCGCCUGUGACGAAGCGUGAGUGACGGUAAUGGGUAAAGAAGCACCGGCUAACUACGUGCCAGCAGCCGCGGUGAUACGUAGGGUGCGAGCGUUGUCCGGAUUUAUUGGGCGUAAAGGGCUCGUAGGUGGUUGAUCGCGUCGGAAGUGUAAUCUUGGGGCUUAACCCUGAGCGUGCUUUCGAUACGGGUUGACUUGAGGAAGGUAGGGGAGAAUGGAAUUCCUGGUGGAGCGGUGGAAUGCGCAGAUAUCAGGAGGAACACCAGUGGCGAAGGCGGUUCUCUGGGCCUUUCCUGACGCUGAGGAGCGAAAGCGUGGGGAGCGAACAGGCUUAGAUACCCUGGUAGUCCACGCUGUAAACGGUGGGUACUAGGUGUGGGGUCCAUUCCACGGGUUCCGUGCCGUAGCUAACGCUUUAAGUACCCCGCCUGGGGAGUACGGCCGCAAGGCUAAAACUCAAAGGAAUUGACGGGGCCCCGCACAAGCGGCGGAGCAUGCGGAUUAAUUCGAUGCAACGCGUAGAACCUUACCUGGGUUUGACAUGGAUCGGGAGUGCUCAGAGAUGGGUGUGCCUCUUUUGGGGUCGGUUCACAGGUGGUGCAUGGCUGUCGUCAGCUCGUGUCGUGAGAUGUUGGGUUAAGUCCCGCAACGAGCGCAACCCUUGUUCACUGUUGCCAGCACGUUAUGGUGGGGACUCAGUGGAGACCGCCGGGGUCAACUCGGAGGAAGGUGGGGGUGACGUCAAGUCAUCAUGCCCCUUAUGUCCAGGGCUUCACGCAUGCUACAAUGGCUGGUACAGAGAGUGGCGAGCCUGUGAGGGUGAGCGAAUCUCGGAAAGCCGGUCUCAGUUCGGAUUGGGGUCUGCAACUCGACCUCAUGAAGUCGGAGUCGCUAGUAAUCGCAGAUCAGCAACGCUGCGGUGAAUACGUUCCCGGGGCU
rnacentral:rRNA from 1 species